UACGUAGGAUCCAAGCGUUGUCCGGAUUUACUGGGUGUAAAGGGUGCGCAGGCGGACUUAUAAGUCAGGGGUGAAAUCUCGCUGCUCAACAGCGAAACUGCCUUUGAUACUGUAGGUCUUUGAAUUAGGGAGAGAUUCGUGGAAUUCCGAGUGUAGCAGUGAAAUGUGUAGAUAUUCGGAAGAACACCAGAGGCGAAGGCAGCGAAUUGGCCCUAUAUUGACGCUCAGGCACGAAAGCAUGGGGAUCAAACAGG
rnacentral:rRNA from 1 species